rnacentral:tRNA from 1 species
GGGAAGUUGGCUCAGUGGUAGAGUGCUUGUCUCGCAUACAUGAGGCCCUGGGGUUCAAUUCCUCAGCAGCACA